UUCUCAUUUUUUCUUAUUUCAUAUCACGUUAUCAGCACGAAGCUCUAACCAACUAAGUUUUCUGGCAAUCUUCAAAGAGACAGAUUCAACAGGAAUUUAUCAUUCAUCGCAUCCUGGUUUUAGGGUAUCAAAACUGACAAGUGCCAAACCCUACAAGAAGUUUCCUAGAAGCUGAUAACAUAUACAAACAAAAGUUUUCAGGCAAGUUCAGGAGGGAAUUCUCAAAUGUCUUCAUCAUUCACGAUUUUAACAAAAAAGUGGCGGGAUCCGGCUGUAAUUCGGGUCACCCAAUAUUAAAAAACGGAUCCUAUAUAUCAUCUUUACCAGACCACCAUAUCUCAUAACCUCACUUUUCACAAACCCUACAUACCAUUUCCUAAAUCUGCUUCUUCGUUUUUCAGAGAUUCAUCGUCCUUAGGUAUGUUAUUAUGCCAUUCCUUCUUUGUUUUCGUAUUGUUAAUCUAAUACAUCUUUGAUUUUUUUCGAUUUCAUCAACUAUCUUACAUAUUCAGAUGAGAUUCAUAAGGACGACAAUGUUUUGAUGCUUUCUUCAUCUUCAUGUAAAUGCUAUUUGUUUCAUGUUUCCAGAUUUGAAGAGAUCGAUUUGUUUGCUGUUUAAUAAUGAUUUACGAUGUGUUUUGUCAUAUCUAGGGUUUGCUUGUGGUCUUUCGUAUCCGUCAAAACCCUAAUCGACCAGAGAAAUCGUCAAAAGUUCUUCACAAUAUGAUCGUUCCACAUAAUUUGCAGAUAUGCAUCCCUUGCACAACAGUCCUUCAUUUUUAAAGCUUAUUGAUGAAGAUGACCCGAUAUUUUUGGUGAAGAGUUUCUUUCAGACUCCUUCCCCUACAAGGAACUAUUGAAUGGGUUCCUAUGAGAAGUUGAAGAAAAGUUAUGGAUAAUGAAAACAACGCUCCUUCGUUAUUAAAGUCGAUUGAGGACUAUGAUCCUAUAUUUUUCGAAUUGUUCGUCGACCAAAAACAGUUAUGGAUCAUGAAAACAACGCUCCUUCGUUGUUAAAGUUGAUUGGGGACUAUGAUUCUAUAUUUUUGGCAAUACCAUAUGAUUUUGCAACCUUAUUGUGGGGAGAACAACUUUCAUAUGUCAAUGUCUUAAAAUUAUUGAUGAUGAUUUAUCUUAUGGAUCCUAAAAACAACUCUCAUUCGUUGU
rnacentral:lncRNA from 1 species